GGGACACGUGGUAUCCUGUCUGAAUAUGGGGGGACCAUCCUCCAAGGCUAAAUACUCCUGACUGACCGAUAGUGAACCAGUACCGUGAGGGAAAGGCGAAAAGAACCCCGGCGAGGGGAGUGAAAAAGAACCUGAAACCGUGUACGUACAAGCAGUGGGAGCACGCUUAGGCGUGUGACUGCGUACCUUUUGUAUAAUGGGUCAGCGACUUAUAUUCUGUAGCAAGGUUAACCGAAUAGGGGAGCCGAAGGGAAACCGAGUCUUAACUGGGCGUUAAGUUGCAGGGUAUAGACCCGAAACCCGGUGAUCUAGCCAUGGGCAGGUUGAAGGUUGGGUAACACUAACUGGAGGACCGAACCGACUAAUGUUGAAAAAUUAGCGGAUGACUUGUGGCUGGGGGUGAAAGGCCAAUCAAACCGGGAGAUAGCUGGUUCUCCCCGAAAGCUAUUUAGGUAGCGCCUCGUGAAUUCAUCUCCGGGGGUAGAGCACUGUUUCGGCAAGGGGGUCAUCCCGACUUACCAACCCGAUGCAAACUGCGAAUACCGGAGAAUGUUAUCACGGGAGACACACGGCGGGUGCUAACGUCCGUCGUGAAGAGGGAAACAACCCAGACCGCCAGCUAAGGUCCCAAAGUCAUGGUUAAGUGGGAAACGAUGUGGGAAGGCCCAGACAGCCAGGAUGUUGGCUUAGAAGCAGCCAUCAUUUAAAGAAAGCGUAAUAGCUCACUGGUCGAGUCGGCCUGCGCGGAAGAUGUAACGGGGCUAAACCAUGCACCGAAGCUGCGGCAGCGACACUAUGUGUUGUUGGGUAGGGGAGCGUUCUGUAAGCCUGUGAAGGUGUGCUGUGAGGUAUGCUGGAGGUAUCAGAAGUGCGAAUGCUGACAUAAGUAACGAUAAAGCGGGUGAAAAGCCCGCUCGCCGGAAGACCAAGGGUUCCUGUCCAACGUUAAUCGGGGCAGGGUGAGUCGACCCCUA
rnacentral:rRNA from 1 species